GAUGAAGAACGUAGUGAAAUGCGAUAAGUAAUGUGAAUUGCAGAAUUCAGUGAACCAUCGAAUCUUUGAACGCACAUUGCGCCCGGCAGUAAUCUGCCGGGCAUGCCUGUCCGAGCGUCAUUUCUGCCCUCGAGCCUGUCCAGCAUCUAGGUGCUGUUCCGGCCCGGCGUUGGGGCACUACGGGAAGCCUCGUGCUAUCCCCCGUAGGCCCCGAAAUGAAGUGGCGGUCCUGCCGCGGCUCCCCCUGCGUAGUAUUACAGCUCGCUUCGGGACCCGGUGGAGGCCUGCCGUCAAACCUUACUCUCUAAGUUUGACCUCGGAUCAGGUAGGGUUACCCGCUGAACUUAAGCAUAUCAAUAAGCGGAGGA
rnacentral:misc_RNA from 1 species